AUCUGUACAAUAAGUACAUUUGGUUCUCCUCCUUCAGUGAUUGGUAGACUGUUUUUGGCAUUACAUGCUGGUUGUUUUGGGCAACAACCUGUCCAGCCUGGAGGAGUUCAAACAAGCCGUCUUCAGAAUGAUUGAGUACACUUUUCAGUGUUCUACCAUUUAGACUAUUAUUUUUAGGCAUCGUGUCCGAAAGGAGGAUAAGUUUAUCAACUAGACACCACCGCCUCAGAAUUGGAUUAAAAUCAACACGUACGAGACGUUAC
rnacentral:lncRNA from 1 species